GAAUAUUGGACAAUGGGCGCAAGCCUGAUCCAGCCAUGCCGCGUGUGUGAAGAAGGCCUUCGGGUUGUAAAGCACUUUUGUUGGGGAAGAAAAGCCAUGGGCUAAUACCCUGUGGUUCUGACGGUACCCAAAGAAUAAGCACCGGCUAACUCUGUGCCAGCAGCCGCGGUAAUACAGAGGGUGCGAGCGUUAAUCGGAAUUACUGGGCGUAAAGCGCACGUAGGUGGCGACGUAUGUCGGGUGUGAAAGCCCCGGGCUCAACCUGGGAAUUGCAUCCGAAACUGCGUUGCUGGAGUACGGAAGAGGAAGGCGGAAUUCCCGGUGUAGCGGUGAAAUGCGUAGAUAUCGGGAGGAACAUCAGUGGCGAAGGCGGCCUUCUGGUCCAGUACUGACACUCAAGUGCGAAAGCGUGGGGAGCAAACAG
rnacentral:rRNA from 1 species